rnacentral:rRNA from 1 species
GACGAACGCUGGCGGCGUGCUUAACACAUGCAAGUCGAACGGAAAGGCCCCUUUGGGGGUACUCGAGUGGCGAACGGGUGAGUAACACGUGAGUAACCUGCCCUUGACUCCGGGAUAACUUCAGGAAACUGGGGCUAUUACCGGAUAGGAAUCCUUGCUGCAUGGUGGGGGUUGGAAAGCUUCGGCGGUUUUGGAUGGACUCGCGGCUCAUCAGCUUGUUGGUGGGGUAGUGGCUUACCAAGGCUUUGACGGGUAGCCGGCCUGAGAGGGCGACCGGCCACAUUGGGACUGAGAUACGGCCCAGACUCCUACGGGAGGCAGCAGUGGGGAAUAUUGCACAAUGGGCGGAAGCCUGAUGCAGCAACGCCGCGUGCGGGAUGACGGCCUUCGGGUUGUAAACCGCUUUCAGCAGGGGCGAAGCUUGUGGUGACGGUACCUGCAGAAGAAGCACCGGCUAACUACGUG